rnacentral:rRNA from 1 species
GGAAUAUUGCGCAAUGGGGGAAACCCUGACGCAGCGACGCCGCGUGGGUGAGGAAGGCUUUCGGGUCGUAAAGCUCUGUCAGAAGGGAAGAAGUGCUUAUAGGCUAAUACCUUGUAAGCUUGACGGUACCUUCAAAGGAAGCACCGGCUAACUCCGUGCCAGCAGCCGCGGUAAUACGGAGGGUGCAAGCGUUGUUCGGAAUCACUGGGCGUAAAGGGCGCGUAGGCGGCUUGGCAAGUCAGAUGUGAAAGCCCACGGCUUAACCGUGGAAGUGCAUUUGAAACUGCUUGGCUUGAGUAUCAGAGGGGAAAGUGGAAUUCCCGGUGUAGAGGUGAAAUUCGUAGAUAUCGGGAGGAAUACCGGUGGCGAAGGCGACUUUCUGGCUGAAUACUGACGCUGAGGCGCGAAAGCGUGGGGAGCAAACAGGAUUA